rnacentral:rRNA from 1 species
AGUGAACGCUGGCGGUAGGCCUAACACAUGCAAGUCGAACGGCAGCACAGUAAGAGCUUGCUCUUACGGGUGGCGAGUGGCGGACGGGUGAGGAAUACAUCGGAAUCUACUUUUUCGGGGGGGAUAACGUAGGGAAACUUACGCUAAUACCGCAUACGACCUACGGGUGAAAGCAGUGGAUCUUCGGACCUUGCGCGAUUGAAUGAGCCGAUGUCGGAUUAGCUAGUUGGCGGGGUAAAGGCCCACCAAGGCGACGAUCCGUAGCUGGUCUGAGAGGAUGAUCAGCCACACUGGAACUGAGACACGGUCCAGACUCCUACGGGAGGCAGCAGUGGGGAAUAUUGGACAAUGGGCGCAAGCCUGAUCCAGCCAUACCGCGUGGGUGAAGAAGGCCUUCGGGUUGUAAAGCCCUUUUGUUGGGAAAGAAAAGAAGCAGGUUAAUACCCCGCUGUUCUGACGGUACCCAAAGAAUAAGCACCGGCUAACUUCGUG